rnacentral:rRNA from 1 species
ACAGAGAGCUUGCUCUCGGGUGACGAGCGGCGGACGGGUGAGUAAUGUCUGGGAAACUGCCUGAUGGAGGGGGAUAACUACUGGAAACGGUAGCUAAUACCGCAUAACGUCGCAAGACCAAAGUGGGGGACCUUCGGGCCUCAUGCCAUCAGAUGUGCCCAGAUGGGAUUAGCUAGUAGGUGGGGUAACGGCUCACCUAGGCGACGAUCCCUAGCUGGUCUGAGAGGAUGACCAGCCACACUGGAACUGAGACACGGUCCAGACUCCUACGGGAGGCAGCAGUGGGGAAUAUUGCACAAUGGGCGCAAGCCUGAUGCAGCCAUGCCGCGUGUGUGAAGAAGGCCUUCGGGUUGUAAAGCACUUUCAGCGGGGAGGAAGGCGGUGAGGUUAAUAACCUUGUCGAUUGACGUUACCCGCAGAAGAAGCACCGGCUAACUCCGUGCCAGCAGCCGCGGUAAUACGGAGGGUGCAAGCGUUAAUCGGAAUUACUGGGCGUAAAGCGCACGCAGGCGGUCUGUCAAGUCGGAUGUGAAAUCCCCGGGCUCAACCUGGGAACUGCAUUCGAAACUGGCAGGCUAGAGUCUUGUAGAGGGGGGUAGAAUUCCAGGUGUAGCGGUGAAAUGCGUAGAGAUCUGGAGGAAUACCGGUGGCGAAGGCGGCCCCCUGGACAAAGACUGACGCUCAGGUGCGAAAGCGUGGGGAGCAAACAGGAUUAGAUACCCUGGUAGUCCACGCUGUAAACGAUGUCGAUUUGGAGGUUGUGCCCUUGAGGCGUGGCUUCCGGAGCUAACGCGUUAAAUCGACCGCCUGGGGAGUACGGCCGCAAGGUUAAAACUCAAAUGAAUUGACGGGGGCCCGCACAAGCGGUGGAGCAUGUGGUUUAAUUCGAUGCAACGCGAAGAACCUUACCUGGUCUUGACAUCCACAGAACUUUCCAGAGAUGGAUUGGUGCCUUCGGGAACUGUGAGACAGGUGCUGCAUGGCUGUCGUCAGCUCGUGUUGUGAAAUGUUGGGUUAAGUCCCGCAACGAGCGCAACCCUUAUCCUUUGUUGCCAGCGGUUAGGCCGGGAACUCAAAGGAGACUGCCAGUGAUAAACUGGAGGAAGGUGGGGAUGACGUCAAGUCAUCAUGGCCCUUACGACCAGGGCUACACACGUGCUACAAUGGCAUAUACAAAGAGAAGCGACCUCGCGAGAGCAAGCGGACCUCAUAAAGUAUGUCGUAGUCCGGAUUGGAGUCUGCAACUCGACUCCAUGAAGUCGGAAUCGCUAGUAAUCGUAGAUCAGAAUGCUACGGUGAAUACGUUCCCGGGCCUUGUACACACCGCCCGUCACACCAUGGGAGUGGGUUGCAAAAGAAGUAGGUAGCUUAACCUUCGGGAGGGCGC